UACGUAGGAGGCGAGCGUUGUCCGGAGUUACUGGGCGUAAAGCGCACGCAGGCGGUCUCUUUAGUCUGUAGGGACAGGGCACAGCUCAACUGUGUCAGGCUUACGGAAACUGGGAGACUUGAGGGCUUCAGAGGGAUGGGGAAUUCCGGGUGGAGUGGUGAAAUGCGUAGAGAUCCGGAAGAACACCAAAGGCGAAGGCAGCAUCCUGGGGAGUCACUGACGCUCGGGUGCGAAAGCCAGGGGAGCGAACGGG
rnacentral:rRNA from 1 species